CAUAAAGAAGGAUCUAGAGUUCCCAGAAGUACACGUGUCUGUUGAGGGGAGAGGUCCACACAUGCAUCCAGCGCUGUAAUAAGCAUACCAGCUUUACAACUUUCACAAAGGUUGUGGACUUUGCUUAUUUCUGCAAAUCACUUUGGCGAGCCAGGCAGGAGACCGUCUCUGUCUUCGCAGGGGUAGAAGGGGAGACGGACCUCCUGAGGCAUGCCCCGGGAUUUUCCCAGAGGAGCUCCACUAAUAUCAGCUUGCCUCCUGCAGAGACAGAGAAGGACCUGGAGUGCGGAAGGAUACGCUAUUACAGGGCACAGUUAAAUGGAAGAAAAUACCAGCACAGCAAACACAAACAAACUCCAAUAUUUACCACAGAGAAGUUCUUAAAGCCAUCAUUUCAGUCAUCUGAGACCAGCAGCAGUUUGGAAAACAUCCCCACGAAGAUGGGCUGCAGGAACACAGAGAUGAUACACAUUCUCCACAGGAAGUUCUCAGGUGUUGCAAAUACUAUGAAGAGAAAGCUGCAGAGUGCACUGAAAUUCAAGGUGACACCAGAAGGACUGCAGCGCACAGUUUUCCACACACCCUAGGGAAAACUAAGUAGCUGGCUUUUCAGUCCAGGAGGAAUGAUGCAAAAACAUUUCCACACUGUUACAAGACACAUACACAAUAAUAAAAGCUGAUUUUGU